rnacentral:misc_RNA from 1 species
AGAGAUUGGUCGAUUUUUCCGGAGGCAAAAUCAGGUGGAAAAAAAGAAAUGAUAAAGAAAAAAAGCAAAACUAUAUAAAAUAUACGAUAUACUAUACACGAUGGCUUCGUGUCACAACACAUAACUAGAUACAUAGAAGUGCAGCGACGCGGUAUACUCCACAUCGAGGAGAUACGUACGUACGUACAUCGAGUGGUACGUGAGACAGAGUGGCAAAAAAAUAUUAAAACAAUAAACCAAUCAACGAAGAUACGGAAAAAAAAACAAAACACCAGCAACAAUUAAAACACUGCAACGGUACGAUUAUGUAAAAAAAAAAAAAAGAAACAAAAAUAAAAAUAAAAAAUAUUAUUACAUAUGUGCCUGCACGUAAUUAUGAAUCUCCGGUAUACAGGCGCGGGUCAUCGUUGCAGAAUUAUGUGAAACUAGAUAAAAAAAAAAAAAAUACCGAAGUAUAUAUCGUCGUUUAAAAGUAUGAUGUACGGCGUGAAACGUACAAUGAAAAUGUGUAUGCAUACAAGUCGCGGCGUGCGUAUAAAAUCGUCAUAAUGAUGUGGAUAAAUCGAUGACGACGAUAAACCUCCGCACCGUGGAUUU